GUUUUUCUUCUCCUACAGGGAAACAAUUUGCUCCACUGGGAAGAGGGGAAAAGGCCACAGAAACAGUGCCCACACAUGGUUCAGGAGGUGGAAAUCAUGAGAUGACACCGUGUCUGUGCACGCGGCUCUGGUUCUGCUCAAGGCUUAUAGUAUUGCUCAUGGAAACAGAGGAUGCUGGAAACGAGGGUCUGGUUUUGCAGCAGAACCACAGCAUCUGGGGGCGAGUGUGGGGGCUCAGGCCGUGUCCAACCAGCUGGCCCCUGUAGCAGGCCCUCCCUAGCCUCUAGCCUCUGGGGACUUUAGGACCUAAUGGAAACUUUUCUUGACACAGCUCUAAGUU
rnacentral:lncRNA from 1 species